AAAGCUGAGGCUACUUUCAGAAACUUCUGAGCAGCAGCUCCCGAGGCCCGUUUGCUUCUGAUGUAGUGGAAAGGGCGUUGGGCUUGGAACCAAAAGGAAAGAGAGUACAGUACCCCUCUACAUUAACACUUGUUAAUCCAUAUAAGAGAGAAUUUCUUAUUUGGAGCAAAGUUGGGGACUUCAGGAAUAUAGGAGCUUUGAGCUGGGUGUACCAGUGAACAAAUAAUGAAGAAGACAUAGAAGAUGGAGUUACAGAGUAUUAAGCUUGAAAUCAAGUAACCUGGAUUCAAGACCUGGUUCUGCUUAGUUCUUACAUGAGAUAAGAAAAUUGAGGAUAAGGAAUGUUAAUGACCUGCUUGAGGAUACAGAAGGAGGAAUCAACAAAAAUGAUAUUUGAAUUCAGAUCCUCUGACUACAAAUUCAUGGGUGCUGACUUCAUUGCAAAAAUGGAAAGAGAAAAGGAUGAUGGAAAAUAUGUUAGAAAACAUGUUGCAAUGAUAAAAAAAAUAAUAAUAAAGAUCAAAGGUUUGCAGAUGGGAGCUGAUUAGAGGGAAUUGGUAGAAAAGUUUGCUGGAAUAAGCUCCAAAUUCCAAGGGCUAGUUGUUAAAUUGUUAAUGUAAGCUUUUCAGAACUCUGCCACAAAUCACGUCUUGAUUUAUUUUUGCUGAUUGUGUAGAUUUUAAAAAGUAAGAAAAGAAGGCGAAAAUGUUAAUGAAGAUUAAAUGUAAAAGUGAAAAAAAGGGAAAAUCGCAAGACUUCCAGGCAAGAUGGUAGCUGAACAAGAUGGUGGCACCCCCAGCUCCCACUUAUUAAUUCCAGAAAAACUCUAAAGUUUACAACAGACCAAAUUAUGAUCAGGAAAUUAAAUAAAACUAAAUAUAAACUACAGUGCCUGAUUGUUUCCACUCCAGAAUUGCAUGCAAAAUUAGUCAGAAGCCCACAAAUAAUAGGAAAUAGAGACUGUUAGCAAAAUCUGUUAGUAUAGGAUAAUUUCCUUGCUCAACAGAAGAGAAGUCUGAGACAUUUGGAGCCAGCAAGUGUUUUGUCCAGAGGCACCAUAAAUAGAGAACAUCCAGGAAGAAGCCCCAGGAUAGUCAGAAAGCACUCAACUGACUCAGCUCCUUUUUAUGCUCUUUUAGAGGUCAUACUCAAAGGCUGACUCCUCCUCUGAGAGUGGGAUUAUGGGAGGUGUAAACUCGUGAAUCUCAUACUAAAUACUGAAAUCUCCCAACUUGUGAACUCUAAUGUGUGAGCUAAUGUAUGAACUCUCAAAGGUGUAAACACAAGCAUUGUUUCUAUCAAUUCCAUUGAGUUAACAUCUUGUUUCAAGUUCUGGUCAUAACAGACCAACUCAACCAAAAUGGCAAUGGGGACAAAGCUUGCUCCUUCUAUGAAACCUCAAUUUAGGAACCAAAAUUAGAGAUAUGAGUAAAUCAAAGAAAACUAGGACUAGUGCCAGAAAACUAGUAUUGCAAAUCUUACUAUGAUUAAGGGUUCAAAGGAAAAACUGGAUUUUCCAUAAGGACUACAUGAAUCCCUAGAAAAAUUGAAGUAAGAAAUGUUUUUAAAUGUGAGAAAUGCUUUUAA